rnacentral:rRNA from 1 species
AUUGAACGCUGGCGGCAGGCCUAACACAUGCAAGUCGAACGAGUGGCGGACGGGUGAGUAAUGUCUGGGAAACUGCCUGAUGGAGGGGGAUAACUACUGGAAACGGUAGCUAAUACCGCAUACCAUCGGAUGUGCGCAGAUGGGAUUAGCGUGUUGGUGGGGUAACGGCUCACCAAGGCGACGAUCCCUAGCGGGUCUGAGAGGAUGACCAGCCACACUGUAACUGAUACACGGUCCAGACUCCUACGGGAGUCAGCAGUGGGGCAUAUUGCACAAUGGGCGCAAGCCUUAUGCAGCCAUGCCGCGUGUAUGAAGAAGGCCUUCGGGUUGUAAAGUACUUUCAGCGGGGAGGCGUUACCCGCAGAAGAAGCACCGGCUAACCCCGUGCCAGCCGCCGCGGUAAUAC